UGCAGAAUCUCGUGAAUCAUCGAGUCUUUGAACGCAAGUUGCGCUCAAAGCCAUCAGGCCAAGGGCAUGCCUGCUUGGGCGUCU
rnacentral:rRNA from 1 species